rnacentral:rRNA from 1 species
UACGUAGGGCGCAAGUGUUAUCCGGAAUUAUUGGGCGUAAAGAGCUCGUAGGCGGUUUGUCGCGUCUGCCGUGAAAGUCCGGGGCUCAACUCCGGAUCUGCGGUGGGUACGGGCAGACUAGAGUGAUGUAGGGGAGACUGGAAUUCCUGGUGUAGCGGUGAAAUGCGCAGAUACCAGGAGGAACACCGAUGGCGAAGGCAGGUCUCUGGGCAUUAACUGACGCUGAGGAGCGAAAGCAUGGGGAGCGAACAGG